rnacentral:tRNA from 1 species
GCCUUGUUGGCUAAGUGGUAUAGCGUCUCACUAGUAGCCUAGUGGUAUGAGAAGAUCGGCGGUUCGAUUCCGCCACGAGGCA